UAACGUAACUACUCAGCAAGU
rnacentral:piRNA from 1 species